rnacentral:rRNA from 1 species
AGUGAACGCUGGCGGUAGGCCUAACACAUGCAAGUCGAACGGCAGCACAGUAAGAGCUUGCUCUUACGGGUGGCGAGUGGCGGACGGGUGAGGAAUACAUCGGAAUCUACUUUUUCGUGGGGGAUAACGUAGGGAAACUUACGCUAAUACCGCAUACGACCUACGGGUGAAAGCAGGGGAUCUUCGGACCUUGCGCGAUUGAAUGAGCCGAUGUCGGAUUAGCUAGUUGGCGGGGUAAAGGCCCACCAAGGCGACGAUCCGUAGCUGGUCUGAGAGGAUGAUCAGCCACACUGGAACUGAGACACGGUCCAGACUCCUAAGGGAGGCAGCAGUGGGGAAUAUUGGACAAUGGGCGCAAGCCUGAUCCAGCCAUACCGCGUGGGUGAAGAAGGCCUUCGGGUUGUAAAGCCCUUUUGUUGGGAAAGAAAAGCAGUAGGUUAAUACCCCGCUGUUCUGACGGUACCCAAAGAAUAAGCACCGGCUAACUUCGUG